UGGCAGUGUGCCUAACACAUGCAAGUCGCGCGAUAUAGCGGCAGACGAGAGAGUAAUAACAAGGAACUUACCCCCGAGUGAAGGAUAGCCAGCCGAAAGGCUGGGUAAUCCCGCAUAACACCCCGCCUUUGGCGGGGUCAAAGCCGUAAGGCGCUUGGGGAGAGGCCUUGUUCCUAUCAGCUAGUUGGUGAGGUAAUGGCUCACCAAGGCGAUGACGGGUAGCUGGACUGAGAGGUUGACCAGCCUCGAUGGGACUGAGACACGGCCCAUACUCCUACGGGAGGCAGCAGUUGGGAAUUUUGCACAAUGGACGCAAGUCUGAUGCAGCAACACUGCGUGAAGGAUGAAGGUUUUCGGAUCGUAAACUUCUUUUAUUAGGGAAUAAUCUUGAAGGUACCUAAUGAAUAAGCACCGGCUAACUACGUGCCAGCAGCCGCGGUAAUACGUAGGGUGCAAACAUUAUCCGGAUUUAUUGGGCGUAAAGAGCUCGUAGGUGGUUUUGAAAGUUGGAUAUGAAAUGUUCCGGCUCAACCGGAAUACCGUAUCCAAAACUACACAACUAGAGGUAUGCAGGGGCGGAUGGAACACACGGUGUAGCAGUGAUAUGCGUAGAUAUCGUGUGGAACGCCAAUGGUGAAGACAGUCCGCUGGGCAUUACCUGACACUGAGGAGCGAAAGCGUGGGUAGCGAACGGGAUUAGAUACCCCGGUAGUCCACGCCGUAAACGAUGCACACUGGGAAUGUGGAGAAUCGACCCUCUGCGUUUCGAAGCUAACGCGUUAAGUGUGCCGCCUGGGUAGUACGGCCGCAAGGCUAAAACUCAAAGGAAUUGACGGGGACCCGCACAAGCGGUGGAACAUGUGGUUUAAUUCGAUAGCAAGCGAAGAACCUUACCAGGACUUGACAUCCUUGGAAUCCGCUAGAAAUAGUGGAGUGCCUUUUGGAGCCAAGUGACAGGUGCUGCACGGCCGUCGUCAGCUCGUGCUGUGAAGUGUCCCGUUAAGUCGAUCAACGACCGCAACCCCUAUUGCAUGUUGAAUUUUUCAUGCGAGACUGCCGGCGUUAAGUCGGAGGAAGGUGGGGAUGACGUCAGGUCAGCGUGGCUCUUACGUCCUGGGCUACACACGUGUUACAAUGGGUAGCAACAAUGGGCUGCUAAACCGCAAGGUGGAGCCAAUCCCAUCAAACCUACCCUCAGUUCGGAUUGAGGUCUGCAACUCGACCUCAUGAAGUCGGAAUCGCUAGUAACCGUAGGUCAGCCAUACUACGGUGAAUACGUUCUCGGGUCUUGUACACACCGCCCGUCAAGUCAGGAAAGCCGGUAACGCCCGAAUUCCGCACCCGCGGAACACGGUGAGAUCGGUGAU
rnacentral:rRNA from 1 species